CCUGGUCUCACACGCUGCUCCCUCCACCCGCAUCCCCAUCCCAGCCUCACCCCCUUGAAGGGCUGGCCUGGCCUGGCCCCCAUCACUUACUGUCCUCUGCUGCAGCUGGGACCCAAGCCCCUGGCUGGAGAUGGGUAGCCUCAUCCCCCCCUCACCUGCCAGGAGGGUCCCCUGGAUCAGACGCCAAUACCUCCUUCUUCCACCCCCCAUCCUGCGCAGGGGCCAGGGACCCCGAGCAUCCCCCCCUUGUGGAGACCCUGCACCGAAGGACACAGCUAGGAGGGAGCCGCGCCGCACAGGCAGAGGGAGGGGAGGACCAGGCGCUCCGGUUCCCUGGGUGGAAGAUCCCCUGCCCAGAGCGGCUGGGUAGCGAUGGCCCCUGUGCCCGAAGCCGAGGGCCCUGUACCUGCUCCGGCCAGGCCGCUCUGAGCACGGCGAGGCAAAGGCCCCGGGCAGACGCGGCCCCGGCAGGCUCCGGGGAGAAGGGGCCCGGCCCGGUCACUGGGGCCCGGCGCUGGCACAGACUGUGCCCAGGUUCCCACGGCGCCUCGCGCCAUUCCCACGGGCUGUCACCGCCGGUCACGUGUCUCGUCGCUGUGCGCAACAGCCGGAGGAAUUACUCCCGCCUCCCUCCGAGCCGCAGCCAACCAGCGCGUCCGGCGACGGACGGACUUCCGGCCCAGUGCGUAUAAAACCCGCGCAGCCGCCGCUGCUGCUUCUUGGACGUUGGGUUCGCGCUGCUGCCGGGACGGAGGACGGAGGUAGCUGGGCCGAGGUGGCGGGGCCGGGAGCUGCUGUGGAGCCGCCGGACCGGAUUGAGGAGCCGCUCUGCUGAGCCGGAGGACGGAGGCAGCUAUCCUGAGGCGGCGGGACCGGGCCGAGGAGUCGCUGUGGAGCCGCCGGGCCAGGCCGAGGAGGCGCCGAGCAGGGCGCCGCCUGGGCCUGGCCGAGGAGCCGCCGAGAAGCCGCGAGGUGGGGUCGGGUCGGGCCGAGGAGCCGCUGUGGAGCCGCCCGCCCAGGCCGAGGAGGUGCCGAGCAGGGCGCCGCCUGGGCCGGGCCGAAGAGCCGCUGCGGAGUCGCCGAGAAGCCGCGAGGUGGGGCCGGGCCGGGCCGAGGAGCCGCCGGGCCAGGCCGAGGAGCCGCUGUGGAGUCGCCGAGAAGCCGCGAGGUGGGGCCGGGCCGAGGAGGCGCUGAGCAAAGUGAAGCCUGGGCCUGGCCGAAGAGCCGCUGAGUGGGGCAGGACCGGGCCGACCGUAGGCUGUGGGGCCGCCGGCCUGGACCGAGGAGCCGCCGUGGACGCAUGCCUUAUUUAUGCUGGUCAACAAGCUCCUUGGCAGGAAAGAAGUUUCACCUGGUCAAAAGCAUCGUGCAACCUAAGGCAAUGUGAAAACAGCAGAAGAGCAGCAAGAUGGGAGGUGAAGGAACCCAAAUCCUUGGAGAGCACCUAAAAUCGAGUCCCAGACUGCAUCGGUGUAGCCAGAAAGCAUCACUGUACAGGGGGCAGGAAUGCAUGGCUGAAGAAGGGAAGGUAAGGGAAGCAUGGGAGGGUAGAGAUGGCCUUGUGGGAUGGCAGGGGGCGUGCUUGGCAGGGAGAGGGGCUUGGUGAUGGCCCUGCACUAUUUCUCUCUGACUCUUCUGCCUUCCCUCAGCUCUCUGGCCACCCUGCUCAAAGGGGUAGAAUCUAGCUCCUGGGCCACAUGCCUGAGUGCAUGAAGGACAGAUUUUUAAAGGCCCAAGGCAUGUGCAGCAGCUCAGGGCACUCCGGGGCCCAGACAAGAGCCCUUCUGCCCGUGGCACACGGCUUGACAAGCCAGCUAAAGAGGGCCUGGCUCAGGUCUGGUCCAUGCUAGAGGAGUAGAUCAAUUCCAGUAUUGCAGUAAGGGCUGUGAAACAUCCACCCCUGAGGGGCAGUGCUAAGACAACUUGCAUCCCUG
rnacentral:lncRNA from 1 species